GCCAAACAACCUCCAUUGUAGCUACUCCAACUAACUUGUAUUUUGCUUCAAUGGAUGAGCAGGCAACUGUGGUCUGUUUUCGGGUUGACCAAGAGACAAGGUUGGCACCUAGGUAUAUCGCAUAACUAGAAACAGACUUGCGAUCUUCUGGAUUCGAGGCCUAGUCCGCAUCAACAUAAGCACUAAGUUGAGGAGUGGAAGCUUUAUGAAGGAACAAACCAUAGUGUUGAGUAUGCUUUAAAU
rnacentral:misc_RNA from 1 species